rnacentral:misc_RNA from 1 species
GUAGGUGAACCUGCGGAUGGAUCAUUAUCACGUUUCCACGUAUAAACCAUCGUGCACCCUCUUACCUCUUGGGGAGACGAGUUCGUGUGGCAGAAGCAGAUGAAUUCUUUCCUGUGAUUUAGAGUUCGCUUCUACCACCUCGAGUAACUUCGUACUUGUCUCUCCUUGAGUGUAUUUUUUAAAUCACUUUGAUUAACAAUUUGAACCCUUUCUUUAAACUUUGAACUGACUUAUUUCUUACUCUUCGGAG